rnacentral:rRNA from 1 species
AGAGUUUGAUCCUGGCUCAGGAUGAACGCUAGCGGCAGGCUUAACACAUGCAAGUCGAGGGGUAUAGAGAGCUUGCUCUCUAGAGACCGGCGCACGGGUGCGUAACGCGUAUGCAAUCUACCUUUUACAAAGGGAUAGCCCAGAGAAAUUUGGAUUAAUACCUUAUAGUAUUAAGUUUUGGCAUCAAGAUUUAAUUAAAGAUUUAUCGGUAAAAGAUGAGCAUGCGUCCCAUUAGCUAGUUGGUAAGGUAACGGCUUACCAAGGCAACGAUGGGUAGGGGUCCUGAGAGGGAGAUCCCCCACACUGGUACUGAGACACGGACCAGACUCCUACGGGAGGCAGCAGUGAGGAAUAUUGGUCAAUGGACGCAAGUCUGAACCAGCCAUGCCGCGUGCAGGAUGACGGUCCUAUGGAUUGUAAACUGCUUUUGUACAGGAAGAAACCCUACUUCGUGAAGUAGAUUGACGGUACUGUAAGAAUAAGGAUCGGCUAACUCCGUGCCAGCAGCCGCGGU